UGGGGAAUUUUGGACAAUGGGCGAAAGCCUGAUCCAGCAAUGCCGCGUGUGUGAAGAAGGCCUUCGGGUUGUAAAGCACUUUUGUCCGGAAAGAAAUCCUUGGCUCUAAUACAGUCGGGGGAUGACGGUACCGGAAGAAUAAGCACCGGCUAACUACGUGCCAGCAGCCGCGGUAAUACGUAGGGUGCAAGCGUUAAUCGGAAUUACUGGGCGUAAAGCGUGCGCAGGCGGUUUGCUAAGACCGAUGUGAAAUCCCCGGGCUCAACCUGGGAACUGCAUUGGUGACUGGCAGGCUAGAGUAUGGCAGAGGGGGGUAGAAUUCCACGUGUAGCAGUGAAAUGCGUAGAGAUGUGGAGGAAUACCGAUGGCGAAAGGCAGCCCCCUGGGCCAAAUACUGACGCUCAUGCACGAAAGCGUGGGGAGCAAAACAGGAUUAGAUACCCUGGUAGUCCACGCCCUAAAACGAUGUCAACUAGUUGUUGGGGAUUCAUUUCCUUAGUAACGUAGCUAACGCGUGAAGUUGACCGCCUGGGGAGUACGGUCGCAAGAUUAAAACUCAAAUGAAUUGACGGGGUCAUAGCUGUUUCC
rnacentral:rRNA from 1 species